rnacentral:rRNA from 2 species
GCCGGGAACUCAAAGGAGACUGCCAGUGAUAAACUGGAGGAAGGUGGGGAUGACGUCAAGUCAUCAUGGCCCUUACGACCAGGGCUACACACGUGCUACAAUGGCGCAUACAAAGAGAAGCGACCUCGCGAGAGCAAGCGGACCUCAUAAAGUGCGUCGUAGUCCGGAUUGGAGUCUGCAACUCGACUCCAUGAAGUCGGAAUCGCUAGUAAUCGUGGAUCAGAAUGCCACGGUGAAUACGUUCCCGGGCCUUGUACACACCGCCCGUCACACCAUGGGAGUGGGUUGCAAAAGAAGUAGGUAGCUUAACCUUCGGGAGGGCGCUUACCACUUUGUGAUUCAUGACUGGGGUGAAGUCGUAACAAGGUAACCGUAGGGGAACCUGCGGUUGGAUCACCUCCUUA